rnacentral:tRNA from 1 species
GGGCUCGUAGCGCAGUGGUAGCGCGCCUGCUUUGCAAGCAGGAGGUCACGGGUUCG